rnacentral:rRNA from 1 species
AGUGAACGCUGGCGGUAGGCCUAACACAUGCAAGUCGAACGGCAGCACAGUAAGAGCUUGCUCUUACGGGUGGCGAGUGGCGGACGGGUGAGGAAUACAUCGGAAUCUACUUUUUCGUGGGGGAUAACGUAGGGAAACUUACGCUAAUACCGCAUACGACCUACGGGUGAAAGCAGGGGAUCUUCGGACCUUGCGCGAUUGAAUGAGCCGAUGUCGGAUUAGCUAGUUGGCGGGGUAAAGGCCCACCAAGGCGACGAUCCGUAGCUGGUCUGAGAGGAUGAUUAGCCAAACUGGAACUGAGAAACGGUCCAGACUCCUAAGGGAGGCAGCAGUGGGGAAUAUUGGACCAUGGGCGCAAGCCUGAUCCAGCCAUACCGCGUGGGUGAAGAAGGCCUUCGGGUUGUAAAGCCCUUUUGUUGGGAAAGAAAAGCAGCAGGUUAAUACCCCGCUGUUCUGACGGUACCCAAAGAAUAAGCACCGGCUAACUUCGUG